GAAACUCUCGGAAUGGAUCAAGCACAGUGAUGAGACAAUCAUGAGGUCUAGACCUCGCCCACAGGUUCUAGUUGAUAUGAUGUGAGAUGAUAACCACAUAUUCACCGGCUCUCUUUUUCCUGUAUAUACAUCUGGACUGUCAUAUAUUAUCUGACCUAUCAACAAGUGAGAAUGGGAAAGGCUGCAGGUAAUUUUCUUACUAUUUUUUUUUUAAUCGAGAUUGAUAGAGACACUGAAACUCUUUAUUCAUGCAUACGUAGAGUUGAUUAUUUUUCUUGAAUUCAAUGACUUUGAAAAUAAGAUUUUGGAAAAAAAAAAAAAGGCUGGUAUAGCCCUGCUAGGUUGAAGAACAUAGGCUGGUAUAGCCCUGCUAGGUUGAAGAAGGACUGUCAUAUAUUAUCUGACCUAUCAACAAGUGAGAAUGGGAAAGGCUGCAGGUAAUUUUCUUACUAUUUUUUUUUUAAUCGAGAUUGAUAGAGACACUGAAACUCUUUAUUCAUGCAUACGUAGAGUUGAUUAUUUUUCUUGAAUUCAAUGACUUUGAAAAUAAGAUUUUGGAAAAAAAAAAAAGGCUGGUAUAGCCCUGCUAGGUUGAAGAACAUGAUUAAGCUAUUUUUUCCUUGGGUAACUUGGAAGAUGUGUAGCUCAAACCUGAAUUGACAGAAAUCCUUUGACAUGUUGAUAACUAGUUCUCAAGCUGCCAUCUUCGGUUACCAAAAUAAUGUGGCUUCUAACAGUUGUUUUAUAAGUGGGGCAAUUAUUUAUCUAUGAACAUUUCUAUUUAAAAUUCAAAAGAAAGCUAAAGUUAUGUCUAUGAACAUUUUUUUCCCUCAUGGAUGCAGGCAAUGCAUGUUAUGAAAUAGGGAAGAGGAGGUUGGUUCUUCCAUGGUUUUACGGCAGAGAUACGUCAGUGCAAAGUGGGGUAUCUCUGCUGACGUUAUUACCAUGGGUUUGUUUGGUGAUCAUAUCGUAUCAAAGCAUCUUGUCAAGCUGAUGGGCUCGCAAAAGAAACAGGAGGUGAAAGUAGGGCAUCGUGGCGUACAGUUGUAUUGGGCUAGUCCAUGUUGUUGUAUUCUGUUUUAUUUUUUAUCCUUUUUUUUCUCCCUUCUCUUUCUAGUUCUUGCUGGUGAUGAUGAAGGUGGUGAAAUUUUUUCUGCCAAAUCCCAAAGUUUUGUGUAUAAACUGUCAUUCCAAAUUGCAUUUUUUGUGUACAUAAGAUAUUUUAAGAGCUUGCCAAAUGCUAUCUUAGACGUGUAAUAAUUGUUUACUAGCUCAUAACUAUGGCUUUUUUCUAUCCCUUGUAUCAUGCAUCUAUGCAAAGAUGGUUCUUGUUUACGGUGAAGAUUCAUGUCCAAUGUAAUAUCUCUUCUGUCCUACAAGCUCAGUUGGAGAUUAAGAGCUGCCCGUGGUGUGUCAAUCUCGUCCUUUGAAGAAAUGGUUCUAGUUUUACCAAUUCUAGAACGCCUCUACUACUAGUUUUACAAUGUUAAUCAUAUCAUAUGGAUCAAAUAGCUUCUGUACCCUCUUAUGCAAAUGGGUAAAUUUUAAAUUACAUAUUUCCUAAAUUGAUUAUUUUCAAAUAAUCUUUUUAUUAAAAAAAAAACCUCCAGUUAUUCUUUAAAAAAUCGUUAUUUUUAAUAGUAAAAAACGUAAAAUGGUAUCUAUACAUUCUUUUAAUAGUGAAUUGACAAAAGGAAAAAAAAAAUUGUUAUUCCCAUUGCAUUAUGCAAUGUUCUAUACAAAAUUGUUGCUAAAAUGCUUGCAAAUAGAAUGAAGCUUGUUCUUGGUGAAGUUAUUUCAGAUUCCCAGAGUGCAUUUGUUUCGGGCAGAGCAAUCACCGACAAUAUUCUAAUAUCGACUGAAAUAAUCCAUUACUUAAAGAGGAAGAAACGAGGAAAGACUGGAACAGCUGCGCUUAAGAUCGACAUGUCUAAAGCGUAUAAUCGAGUUGAAUGGAAUUUUUUAAAGCUCAUGAUGUUGAGAAUGGGGUUUGAUGAGGGAUGGGUCGAGAUUGUUAUGAUGUGUGUUUCUACUGUGAGCUAUAAGGUGAUUAGAAAUGGGAUAGAGGUGGGACCAAUUGUUCCAAGUAGGGGUCUCCGCCAAGGGAAUCCGUUAUCGCCCUACUUAUUCAUUAUAUGUGCUGAAGGGCUAAGUUCCUUAAUUCGUAAUCGUGUAAGGGCAAGAUUCAUUCAUGGGGUUAAAGUAGCCAUGAGUGCCCUUGUGGUAUCCCACUUAUUUUUUGCUGAUGAUUGUUUCCUCUUCUUUAAGGUCCAUCACAAUGAAGCUAGAAUUAUGAAAAGUCUUUUAGCUGUUUAUGGUGCUGCAUCGGGGCAGAAGGUGAAUUUGAAUAAAUGAUCAAUCUCUUUCAGUGCAAAUAUGGAUGAGGAUUCUAUUAGCCAAGUGUGUGGCAUUCUGGAAGUUCCUUUCACUGACAAUCAUGGAACUUAUUUGGGGCUGCCUUCACAGAUUGCUAGAAAGAAGAGUGUUGUAUUUACUUUUAUUAAAGAGAAAGUUUGGCAGCGGCUUCAAGGAUGGGGUCAGAAAUUUCUGAGUAGGGCGGGGAAGGAAAUCAUGCUGAAAACAGUUGCCCAGGCUCUUCCAAAUUAUGCCAUGAACAUAUACCUAUUGCCUCUGGACUUGUGUAAAGAACUGGAGAUUAUGAUGAACUCCUAUUGGUGGGGAACUAAGAGGAAUGAAGGUAAAGGUAUUCAUUGGCUUCGAUGGGAUUCAAUGUGUAAGCCGAAGUCUGUUGGGGGCAUUGGUUUCAAAAAAAUACAUGACGUUAAUAUAGCCAUGCUCGGGAAACAAUGUUGGAAACUUAUGACUGAUCCGCACUCUCUUGUAGCAAGGAUCCUCAAGGCCCGAUAUUAUCCUCGAUCUUCUUUUAUUGAUGCAUCUGUUGGGUUUAAUCCAAGUUAUACCUGGAGGUCACUUAUGGCUGCCAAGAAUGUUGUUGUGAAUGGAAGUCGCAUACAAAUUGGGGAUGGGCAGCAGGUUCAGCUUUUCAAGGACCCUUGGCUUCCUGAUGUACACAAUGGUUUUAUUACAUCGGAGUUGGAUGAAAGUCUUGCAACAGCUACGGUGGAUUGUCUUAUGGUUCCAGGACAACGGAGUUGGGAUUAUGAUUUAAUUACAGAUGUCUUCAAUUCAAGGGAUGCUGGCCUUAUUUUGCAGGUGCCUCUCAGCGUUAGACAAAAUGAAGAUCGCUGGUAUUGGUUGGCAGAUCCUAAGGGGCAAUUUACAGUUAGAAGUUGCUAUAAUCUACUGAAUUCUGAAGCUAAUGUGUCAAGCAGCAAGGUGUGGAAACGCUUAUGGGGGCUGGAGGUUCCAGGUAAGGUUAAACAUUUCUUUUGGCAUGCAUUGAUGAAUGUAUUACCUACUGCGGAUAACUUGCGGCCUCGAAAGGUUGAGGUUUCCCCUAUUUGCCCCAUCUGUAAUGCUGCGAAUGAGUCUGUGCUACAUUGUUUAGUCGAGUGUUUAUUUGCUCACUCUUGCUAGCUAUUGUCUUCUAUUGGCACUUUUGGGAGAUGUUCUUCUUUGAUUGAUUGGUUUGAGCAAAUAUUUACCCGCUGCUGUAAGGAAGAUUGUAACUUAGUUGUGAUGUUGUGUUGGAGGCUUUGGUUUAAUCGAAAUGAUAAGGUGUGGAAUGAUCAUUGUAGCCGAGCUCAAAGGCUGGUAAAUGUUGUUGGCCAUUGUCUUUUCCAAUGGCAAGAAGCUAAAAGGAGAAAUUUCACUAUUGCAGAAGAUAUUCAGUUAGGUCACGGCUCGGUGUGUUGGGGCCAGCCUCCUGUGGGUUGGCCAAAAUGUAAUGUAGAUGCAGGGGUAUUUAGAUCUCAGGGAAGAGUCAGUUUUGGAGGGGUGAUUAGAGACUCUGAAGGUGGUUUUAUUGCAGCGAAGUGUCAGAGUUUCUCUGGUUCUUUCCACCCUCGUGAGGCUGAAGCGUUGGCUGUCCAUGAGGCGCUUAGCUGGAUAAAGCAUCUGCAGUUAUCUAAAAUUAUUAUUGAGAUAGAUUAUUUAAAUGUGUAUUCUGCUUUAAUUUCUCAAUCUGCGAGUUCUAAUGGUUUUGGUUUAAUUAUUGCAGAUUGUAGAGAUUUAGCUCAAUUAAUUGGAGAAGUGAAAUUCUCUUUUGUGCGUCGAUCUGCGAACGCCGCUACCCACAGUGUAGCUAGGGUGGGGGGUUCUAUAUCAGAUCCUGAAGAGUGGAUGGAUGUUCUACCUCUAUGGUUAUGUUAUCUGUUGAUUAUUUCUCUUGUUUAAUGAAAUUUCCUUCAUAAAAAAAUAAAAAUAAAAAUAACAGUAGUUCAAUUAAACAAUCAAAACAAAAAUUUGAAAUAACAAUCCCAAACCUUAUAACAAUUAUGGGUGGCCGGGGUGGCAGAGAGCCAUUGGAAGACAAUGUCCACGACGAACUACGGUUCCCCGGCUGUCGCAACCCUACAAUACUAUUGUCGCAGCAAAAGAAGAUGGGUCUCACGGCUGAAUAGUUGUGAUAAGAGGAAGAUCAGUGAGGCUUUUGACUGUUGGAGAACAAGAACAAUGACAAAGCUCUUGGUGGUGCUAUGGCAGUGCUAUCGCCUGAGAUUGUUGAGUUGAUUGGUUGUUCGCACAAUGAAUAACAUGACUAAAUCGACAGGGGUUGGAUGGUUCUGCAGCAACGUUAGGGAGGCAGAUGAUUUAGGUUUUGGUCUCUGCCAACACCCAUUUGCAAGCUGUAGAUUUUGGCUUCAGGGUUUUUGGAUUUUAGUACGUAGAAUUUAAGUUUCAAUUUUGAUUCAAAUUAGGAUUGGAUUUGAAUAAUAAUUGUACGAUUAUUAUGUAGAUGAAAGGAAAGAAAUAAAAUGAAGAAAAAGAUGAACAUGGAGUAAGGAAGAUGAAGAUGAAUUAAAGAAGAAGAGAAAUUUAAUGUAUUAUUUUUUUUAAUAUUAAUUUUUAUUGAACCUGUGGACUUAAAUCAGUUAAAU
rnacentral:lncRNA from 1 species